AGCUAACUGAUCCCACCUGGUUCCUGCACAGUGCAGUACAGCAGCAUGCACAGGAAGGGCCGUCAACAUUAUCUUCUGUAAGAUGGAAAGAAGAAAACCCUGAAGCUAUCGCUGUCCCAGAUGCAAGUGAGGCGAAAAUGUUUUUUUUCAAAGAAACUUAACAGAAGGAAGACUAUGAAAGGCUUGAUUUGUUUUUGCUAUCAUAUAGGAGAAAUAUGAAAGUUCACCUCUAUAGACCCUGCAGUCAUGACGGGUGUGAUGAAUAUGGUGACUCAGGAACUGCUGCCAUCAUGAUCAGCAAUAAAGGUGACAUGAGGAGUUGUUCUUUCUUUCUUUCUUUCUUUCUUUCUUUCUUUCUUUCUUUCUUUCUUUCCACAUUAAUUAUUUCACCUGAGUCUGCAUCUUUUCCACCUCUUCUUCACCUCUGUCUCUGCUCUCUCGCCAUCUUUCUUCCUUCCUCUCUCUCUCUGUUUCUCAGAGGAGGAGGCAGUCUGUCAGUCGCUCAGCAGAGACGCAGUGUAUUAAUGUGACACAGGGUAAAAGGACACGUCAAAGGAGAUCAAUCACAGGGCCGUGGCACGGGACACGGAAGCUUUUAAUAAACCCAAUCAUCAGGGUGCUUC